rnacentral:rRNA from 1 species
GAUGAACGCUAGCGGCAGGCCUAAUACAUGCAAGUCGAACGGGAUUGCGGUAGUAGCUUGCUACUACUGCAUGAGAGUGGCGCACGGGUGCGUAACGCGUGAGCAACCUACCCAUAUCAGGGGGAUAGCCCGGCGAAAGUCGGAUUAACACCGCAUAACAUCAACAGUUCGCAUGUUCAGUUGAUUAAAUAUUUAUAGGAUAUGGAUGGGCUCGCGUGACAUUAGCUAGUUGGUAGGGUAACGGCUUACCAAGGCAACGAUGUCUAGGGGCUCUGAGAGGAGAAUCCCCCACACUGGUACUGAGACACGGACCAGACUCCUACGCGAGGCAGCAGUAAGGAAUAUUGGUCAAUGGGCGCAAGCCUGAACCAGCCAUGCCGCGUGCAGGAGGACUGCCCUAUGGGUUGUAAACUGCUUUUAUCAGGGAAUAAACCCCUUUACGAGUAGAGGGUUGAAUGUACCUGAAGAAUAAGGAUCGGCUAACUCCGUG